rnacentral:rRNA from 1 species
UACGGGGGGGGCAAGCGUUGUUCGGAAUUACUGGGCGUAAAGGGCGCGUAGGCGGCUCGCUAAGUCGGAUGUGAAAACUCUGGGCUCAACCCAGAGCCUGCAUUCGAAACUGACGAGCUCGAGUUCUGGAGGGGAAAGCGGAAUUCCUGGUGUGAGCGGUGGAAAUGACGUAGAUAUACAGGAGGAACACCGGUGGCGAAGGCGGCUUUCUGGACAGAAACUGACACUGAGGAGCGAAAGCCAGGGGAGCAAACGGG